rnacentral:rRNA from 1 species
AUGGGUAGGCCGGCGAGCAGAGAUCGCCUGAGCGACCUCCCGGACACCCUGCUGGGCCACGUCCUCUCCUUCCUCCCGAACAAGGAGGCCGGCCGCGCCGCGGGGCUGUCCCGGCGGUGGCGCGGCGUCUUCUGCAACGUCCACGCCAUCUCCUUCGAGGAGCGCUGGGGCACCAGGGCCAACGACUGGGUCACCUUCUACCACGAGGCGGAGGAGAAGAAGAGUUGCAGCGGGGCGCUCCUCGAUGAUGUCUGCUCCGCGCUCCUCUGCCGCCACCGGACCGUCGGCCACCACGUGCCGCUGCGCAGCUUCCGCUUCGCCUUCGACCAGUGCCACCACUGGAACUUCGUGCAUGUCGACCAAUGGCUCAUCUACAUGCUGCGGCACGGCCACCAGGAGCUCCACCUCGACCUGCGCUUCUCCAUGGCCUCGAUCUGCAACGACGAGGCCGUGGACAGCGGCACCGGAGGCGGCGUCCUCCCGACAAGGCUCUUCACCUGCCGGGUAAUACGGACGCUAUGCGUCGCCUAUUGCCGGCUGAAGCUGCCGGCGGCCGCCAGCCUGCCGCUCCUCGAGACCUUGAGCAUCACGGCUCCCCACAGCGAUGGUGGGAGGAGCAUCCAGCGGCUGAUCUCCGACUGCCCCCGCCUCGUCGACCUGACGCUGGAAGCUGUCCACCGCCUGAAGCGAGUAUCCGUGCUCGACCAACGCCUCCGGAGAUUCGCCCUCUGCUGCUGUCACAACAUGAAGUCUAUCGACAUCGACGCGUCGGAGCUGAGGUCGCUGGACUACUGCGGCACGGUACCGACUGAGCCGCUCUUGUCCUUGCACGGCUUGCCGGGAGUCCCUUCGUGCACGGUGGACUUCUGCAAAGUGCUCCCCGAGGAUGCAGGGUUUACAGGGUUUAGGGUGUUCAUGCAAAAAAUCAGUGAUGCCAAGCACCUCCAUCUGCACCAUCGUAAACUGGAGGGAAGGUUCUUCUCAGGUUUCCCUUUGUUCUCAAUCCUGACGAGGCUCGUGUUGCAAGGCCCACUCGUGAAUUAA